rnacentral:rRNA from 1 species
AGCAUGGGUAGCGAACAGGAUUAGAUACCCUGGUAGUCCAUGCCGUAAACGAUGAGUGCUAAGUGUUGGGAGGUUUCCGCCUCUCAGUGCUGCAGCUAACGCAUUAAGCACUCCGCCUGGGGAGUACGACCGCAAGGUUGAAACUCAAAGGAAUUGACGGGGCCGCACAAGCGGUGGAGUAUGUGGUUUAAUUCGAUGCAACGCGAAGAACCUUACCAGGACUUGACAU